GGCGCCGUGGUGGGCGGCCAGCACGUCGGCGCCGAAGUCGCUGGCCGGGCGGCGCAGCACGGUGUGCGCGUGGUUGCCGUCCUCGGUGGUGUUG
rnacentral:tRNA from 1 species